rnacentral:RNase_P_RNA from 2 species
UGGGACGGCCGGGCGGCCGCGUCCGGUACGCGAGUACCGGCCGAGGAACGUCCGGGCUCCGCAGGGCACGGUGGUGGGUAACGCCCACUCGGGGAGACCCGCAGGACAGUGCCACAGAGAACAGACCGCCCGCACGUCGUUCGCCGGCGAGCGGGUAAGGGUGAAACGGCGGUGUAAGAGACCACCGCACCCCGGGUGACCGGGGUGGCAGGGUAAACCCCACCGGGAGCAAGGCCAGACAGGGCACGUUCGAGGGCUGCUCGCCCGAGUGUCCGGGUAGGCCGCUCGAGGGUGUCGGCAACGGCACUCCUAGAUGGAUGGUCGCCACCCGCGCACGGGUGACCGGCGCGGGCACAGAACCCGGCGUACAGGCCGUCCCGUCCA